UGAACGACUCUCGGCAACGGAUAUCUAGGCUCUUGCAUCGAUGAAGAACGUAGCGAAAUGCGAUACUUGGUGUGAAUUGCAGAAUCCCGUGAACCAUCGAGUCUUUGAACGCAAGUUGCGCCCGAAGCCAUUAGGUUGAGGGCACGUCUGCCUGGGCGUCACAU
rnacentral:rRNA from 8 species